CAAAAACAAAACUAAAGUAACAAGAAAAACACCAGAAAGCAAGUGAGAAUGCUGCAACAAAAUCUGGCUGCGGAUGAAACAUUCUUGCAGCAGCCUUGGAGGCUGAAUGUCAGCUGAGGAUCUCAAAAGUGAGGGGGAGCAGCAAACGCCUUGUCUCAAGACCCUUUUUCAGGACCUGAGGGAAUGGUGCUUCUACUGCAGCAGUGCAGCAAAAACUUGCAUGCAAGGAGAAAAUAUUCUACCUUGGCAUUUGGAGCCUCACUAACAAGCAGCCAGAGAGGAGCGAUGCCAUAUAAAACUUUAACUUCUAAAUAUGAAAUUUUGGAGAUUGCAAUGAGCAGAGAGUGCCAGCUCCAUGCCAGCAGUAGGGAGGAGGCAGAGGGAACGCCAUCAGCUCGCUACUUGCUGCUGCACAGAGCACAUAGCCCCAGGAGUUUCUCUGCCCGGUGUCCUGUUACCACUUGAAUCAAGAUGUGAAAGCCAAGCCAGCUUAUUUUUAGCACAAUUUGGACCUAAAGAAGCAAACGCUGGUGAAAUAUGCAGUACUGACAGCCCUGGAAAAUCUUUAUUCAUCUGCAGCACAGGAAGCAGGGAAGGAUGCGAGAAAGCAGAGCAAUCCCAAGCUACAAACCAAGUCUCUCAGCUUCUUGGACUCAGCCUCUCUAGCACUGCACAGAUCCUGGCGGUAGCUGGGAGAGGGUUUUUCCACGCUCAGAGCGGGCCUGGCACAGCAGGGAGGAGUGCGGCGUGCCGCAGAUUAGGACAGCCUGCAAGCCUCCAGCUGAGCUCACUACGUCUGUUGGAGCUCAACUGCAGCAACGGUGGGACUGUAAAAAUGGGAGAGACUCGGAAAACUUGAGUAUCAGAGCCCUGCUCUGCUAAGCUCUGAGAGUUUACUGUGUUAAUACAACAUUGGAUCUGUGCAACUGGGCGAUCCAGUGGCACUGAUGCUGCCCUGUACCACCUCUAGCAGUCACUCAGACCCUCUGCUCUGUGGAGGAACCCAAAAAGAGGACACUUAUGACACAACCAUCAUGCCAAGCAGGCAUGUUUCUAUCCCCAUCUCUUAGGACCCUGCUGAAAUCCUGCAGUGCAUUUAGGUAUCUUCAGGACCUGAGCUGGCUGGGGGCUGGUAAAUCACUGCAGGCAGCAGUUGGCUGGAGUGGAGAUGGGGCCAUGAAGGGGAGCAGAGCAGCAAAAAUGGGUCCCUUCAACUUUUGGGGCACAGGUAGGAGGUCCCUGAAUGUGUGCCAGGAAUGGUAGCUGGGGUUGUUGAAGGUGACCACAGGAGAUGUCCCCUACAUCUCUCUGCCAGGAGAAUGCGCACACAGUGUUAACACGCUUGUCAUCAGUAGGUCUGAAAUCCAACCACGGACAGCUCAGGGAUCUGACAAUUGUUUGUGUCUGCCUUGAGACAAAUACCUCAUUGCCCCCUUUGCAAAUUUGCUUCUCUGCUGCGCGUGUGUUUCGAGUUUCCUCAUGCAAAACCUGCGUGGGUGUUUGGAUAUGUAAUGAGCACAUAGUUCAGGAUGAAAACAAGUUGCCUGGAAGAGCCAAGUAACGCCAAAAAAAUGAAAGCAAUACAAACAACAACAUGGCAC
rnacentral:lncRNA from 1 species